rnacentral:rRNA from 1 species
GACGAACGCUGGCGGCGUGCCUAAUACAUGCAAGUAGAACGCACAGGAUGCACCGUAGUUUACUACACCGUAUUCUGUGAGUUGCGAACGGGUGAGUAACGCGUAGGUAACCUGCCUGGUAGCGGGGGAUAACUAUUGGAAACGAUAGCUAAUACCGCAUAAGAACAUUUACUGCAUGGUAGAUGUUUAAAAGGUGCAAAUGCAUCACUACCAGAUGGACCUGCGUUGUAUUAGCUAGUAGGUGAGGUAACGGCUCACCUAGGCGACGAUACAUAGCCGACCUGAGAGGGUGAUCGGCCACACUGGGACUGAGACACGGCCCAGACUCCUACGGGAGGCAGCAGUAGGGAAUCUUCGGCAAUGGGGGGAACCCUGACCGAGCAACGCCGCGUGAGUGAAGAAGGUUUUCGGAUCGUAAAGCUCUGUUGUUAAGGAAGAACGAGUGUGAGAAUGGAAAGUUCAUACUGUGACGGACUAACCAGAAAG